CUGUGUGUUGUCCUGCCAGCCUGCCUCACUUGUCGUGUCACCCUGUUUCCCUGGAUAGAUCACCUGUUUAUUUGGACUCUGUUAUUCUGGAUUUUGGAUUCAGCCACUCCGUUGAGGUCAGACUGAAGAUCAAGAUUGCUUCCCCAAUCCAGAUGUGGACAGGUUUCAGGGUGCUACGGAACCACAGGGGAGAACAAGGAAACAGGAAGACAGCCAGAUGAAGGAGCCACUAUUGUACAGAUGCAGUAUGCAGAGAGUACAGGUCAGGGAUCUGGAUGUCUCUGUGGAAGCCAAACACAGGCCAGGACGGACAGGAGCAGAGACAAAAGCAUGAGUCCAGCAUGGACCAGCUUCCAGUUGUGCUUCUUCUGCUUUCAGGAAGCGGAGACUCGCUCUUAUCAUCAUCUCCAGACUGGGAGGUGAGGAAGCCAUCGAUCUCCUGUGCCUUUUCUGUGACGAAUACUCGAACGUUCCUCUUGCUGUGGUUGCUCAACUGGCAUGCAGAGUUGGUAUUUCCCAUUUUGUUAUGUCUGAUAUGACUGGUACAAUCUGUCAGGACUGCAGGUCUUUCUUGAUGCUGUAAUUUGAAAAUGAACAGUGAUAUUCGCAAAUGUUUUUAUAUGCUAAAAAACAAUGCACCUACACCUACUCCAGGCCAAUG